rfam:Homo sapiens chromosome 11, GRCh38 reference primary assembly.
GCUGGGUGUGGUGGCGCACACCUGUAUUCCAGCUGCUUGGGAGGCUGAGGCACAAGAAUCGCUUGAACCCAGGAGGCAGAGGCUGCAGUGAGCCGAGAUGGCGCCACUGCACUCCAGCCUGGGUGACAGAGUGGGACUCUGUCUCAA